UCCAGCUUUAUUUACAAUUAUUCUUAAAAAACACUGCGAUGAAAUUAAGUAGUUUAUGUUAAUAUUGUAUUAUAUGUAUGCAUAUUUCACAAACAUACAUACGUACCUACACAGGUAAAUAUGUAUGUGUAACAUGGAAUAGUCUGGCUGCUGUAAAUUUCAUUAUUUUUAUAUGAGUUAAUAUUUUUAAAAGGCAGAACGAGCAAGCAUAAAUGUCACAAUGUGAGUUUAUUCCAUACCAGGCUCUAGUUUGAAUUACAAAAUCACGACUUAUGUAAAUUGCAAGUAAACAAAUACUUGGUGUCUUUAAUACUAUAAGUAUGCUGCCUUAGUCUUUAAGUCGAUGGUAAAUACCACAAAUGGGUGCAACAAUUUUGCGGAACAUCUUGGAUACCCUAGGAAAAGGCGAAGGAGAAUGAACAAUUUGCAAAUGUAGUUGGGUUGAUGCAAAAUUUUGAAUAUUAUAUUACAUUACUCUUAGAAUGUUAAUGGGUUACUGAUCAAAUGUAAAUAAAAUUGAAUAAGUUCUAUACAAUUUUUGGAUUUGCAUAAAACGCAAGCGUAAUAAAUUUCUACAACUGAAAUGA